rnacentral:rRNA from 1 species
UAGGGAAUCUUCCACAAUGGACGCAAGUCUGAUGGAGCAACGCCGCGUGAGUGAAGAAGGGUUUCGGCUCGUAAAGCUCUGUUGUUAAAGAAGAACACGUAUGAGAGUAACUGUUCAUACGCUGACGGUAUUUAACCAGAAAGUCACGGCUAACUACGUGCCAG